UACGAGGGGUGCAAGCGUUGCUCGGAAUUAUUGGGCGUAAAGGGUAGGUAGGUGGUCUCGUUUGUCUGGGGUGAAAGCCUUGAGCUUAACUCAAGAAGUGCCCUAGAAACGGCGAGACUAGAGUCCUGGAGAGGGUCGUGGAAUUCCCGGUGUAGCGGUGAAAUGCGUAGAGAUUGGGUGGAACACCAGUGGCGAAGGCGCCUAUCUGGCUGACAACUGACGCUGAGACUCGAAAGCAUGGGGAGCAAACAGGA
rnacentral:rRNA from 1 species